rnacentral:rRNA from 1 species
GAUGGAAGCUUGCUUCUAUCAAUCUUAGUGGCGAACGGGUGAGUAACGCGUAAUCAACCUGCCCUUCAGAGGGGGACAACAGUUGGAAACGACUGCUAAUACCGCAUACGAUCUAAUCUCGGCAUCGAGGAAAGAUGAAAGGUGGCCUCUAUUUAUAAGCUAUCACUGAAGGAGGGGAUUGCGUCUGAUUAGCUAGUUGGAGGGGUAACGGCCCACCAAGGCGAUGAUCAGUAGCCGGUCUGAGAGGAUGAACGGCCACAUUGGGACUGAGACACGGCCCAGACUUCUACGGGAGGCAGCAGUGGGGAAUCUUCCGCAAUGGACGAAAGUCUGACGGAGCAACGCCGCGUGAGUGAUGACGGCCUUCGGGUUGUAAAGCUCUGUUAAUCGGGACGAAA